AUGCUAUUGUCAGCCCCAGAUAAGAGUUCAUUUCCCUCAGACCUCCUUAGAUAAUCACAGUUCCUUCUAAACGACAGUGGUGAUUCUUAGCAGGCUGAUGCUUGAGCGUAACAUUUAGACUUAUUUGCUAGCAUCUCUCACCAUAUUCUGAUGCAUGUUCAGCUAUGCGCUCACGCUGCUCAGCAUUUAUUUGUUUCUACCUUUGAAUUUCUAACCUAUUGGGUUUUAAUUAUAACUGUGAUGAUACAAAACUGACCACAUGCUUUUAAAGCCAAUUUACAAGAAAAAAAUCCUAAUAAUAUUACUUUUUUUAGUAGCACUCUGAAGCAAUUGAACACUUUAUAGAUGCAAGCAAAUUCAGUUGUGUUUUAUCAUAUACACAUUUAUUUCUGUAUGCUGCCUUGUGUGUGACAUUGUUUUCAUUAUUGACUUAUGUGGAUGGAAAUAAUAGGUGGAUUAUUUACUGAAUUCUCUUUAACUCUGCAUCAACCAAAAUAGCUAAUUAAUUGUGUAACAACUUUGACUGAUGCAAGCUUGGAGGUUUUAAAACCAAGGUGAAGAGAAGGACGAAUGCUAGCUUAAACUCAGUAAUGCUUAUUCUCAAUGUAGCCAAAAAAUAGGAUAUCUAAUCUCAUAAAUCAUCGGAGAAAUCAGAACUAAAGGAAAUAAUAAUUAAAAACAACAAUGAUUUCCAGAGAAGCUAGUUUACCAGGGGUCAUACAAAUCCUUGAGUGAGCUGCCAAGACUAUGAUUUUUCCAAACCUUCUUGAUCAAUGUCAUGAGCUGAGUUUCUGCCACAGCCCCUGGAAAGAAGUUUCCAAAGCACCUAUAGAAGAGCUAAGGGUGCUGUUCAAGCGACUCUGACAGUUAUCAUGGUCUUGACUUCAUUUCCAGUUUAGCUUGCUUCAUCUUUCUCCUUUCUUUCCCUUUGCUGACACAAUAUUGAGAAGUGCCUUCUCCCCUCCUUAUUUUGCUGUAUUUGCUGGGCAUUUUGCAGUCAGGAUCUGCUGUAGAAGACAGUGUUAUUUCUAGCUCAUAGAUGUAAUAUUCUACUUGCCAAAGGCUGCAGUUUGUAAACAGUGUGAGUGAGCUACAUAAAACUAGUUCCUCUUCACAAAAAGCGUCAUAUCUACAAGUGAAUAUCUGCUUUUAGGACAUGUGCCUUAGCGGGGAAACCACCCAAGGUGGUGGCUAAGGCCCCAGGAGGGCUGUCCUUUCCUCAAAGAUAGCGGCUGGAGCAUCCCGACUCUUGAGCACAAGGCAAUUCCUGGAGAACACAUUUUGCAACUCUGAUGAUCAAGAAAUUCAGCUGGGGUCUAUUCCCAUUUUUCAAAAGGUCCACUGAGAUGUGGAUUCUAUAUUUCUGCAGAUAUAUGUGGUAGUACUGGAAUUUUGACUCCUUACAUACACUGUGUAUCAUUAAUGUCUUUCACGAAAAAUGUGUCAAGAAAGAGUGUAGAAGAAAACAGAUGAACCAGCCUGAGUUACUUCAUGGCCUAUCCAAGGCUUCAUCUCAAAGUCAAAUUGCAGCAAUUCCCAAAGUCAGCUGAGUAAAUUUCAGUGGGUUCAGCAUAUUCACCAUGAAUAUCAGAACUGCUGGAUUCUUGUGUCUCCUCAUGGACUGCAUUUGACAAUGCAAA
rnacentral:lncRNA from 7 species